rnacentral:misc_RNA from 1 species
GGGGAAUGAUAGCGUGAGCAUCUAGCGAGCCAACCUCCCACCCGUGUUUACUGUACCUUAGUUGCUUCGGCGGGCCCGCCAUUCAUGGCCGCCGGGGGCUCUCAGCCCCGGGCCCGCGCCCGCCGGAGACACCACGAACUCUGUCUGAUCUAGUGAAGUCUGAGUUGAUUGUAUCGCAAUCAGUUAAAACUUUCAACAAUGGAUCUCUUGGUUCCGGCAUCGAUGAAGAACGCAGCGAAAUGCGAUAACUAGUGUGAAUUGCAGAAUUCCGUGAAUCAUCGAGUCUUUGAACGCACAUUGCGCCCCCUGGUAUUCCGGGGGGCAUGCCUGUCCGAGCGUCAUUGCUGCCCAUCAAGCACGGCUUGUGUGUUGGGUCGUCGUCCCCUCUCCGGGGGGGACGGGCCCCAAAGGCAGCGGCGGCACCGCGUCCGAUCCUCGAGCGUAUGGGGCUUUGUCACCCGCUCUGUAGGCCCGGCCGGCGCUUGCCGAACGCAAAUCAAUCUUUUUCCAGGUUGACCUCGGAUCAGGUAGGGAUACCCGCUGAACUUAAGCAUAUCAUAAGCCGGAAGGAAAGGAAAAGGAAAAAAAGUUU